CUACGGGGUGCUGCAGUGGGGAAUCUUAGACAAUGGGGGAAACCCUGAUCUAGCCAUGCCGCGUGAGCGACGACGGCCCUAGGGUUGUAAAGCUCUUUCAGCAGGGAAGAUAAUGACGGUACCUGCAGAAGAAGUCCCGGCUAACUCCGUGCCAGCAGCCGCGGUAAUACGGAGGGGACUAGCGUUGUUCGGAAUUACUGGGCGUAAAGCGCGCGUAGGCGGAUUGUUAAGUCGGGGGUGAAAUCCCGGGGCUCAACCCCGGAACUGCCCUCGAUACUGGCAGUCUUGAGUUCGAGAGAGGUGAGUGGAAUUCCGAGUGUAGAGGUGAGAUUCGUAGAUAUUCGGAGGAACGCCAGUGGCGAAGGCGGCUCACUGGCUCGAUACUGACGCUGAGGUGCGAAAGCGUGGGGAGCAAACAGGAUUAGAUACCCGCGUAGUC
rnacentral:rRNA from 1 species